rnacentral:rRNA from 1 species
CCUACGGGAGGCAGCAGUGAGGAAUAUUGGUCAAUGGACGAGCGUCUGAACCAGCCAAGUAGCGUGAAGGAUGACUGCCCUAUGGGUUGUAAACUUCUUUUAUAUGGGAAUAAAAUGUUCCACGUGUGGGAUUUUGUAUGUACCAUAUGAAUAAGGAUCGGCUAACUCCGGGCCAGCAGCCGCGGUAAUACGGAGGCUCCGAGCGUUAUCCGGAUUUAUUGGGUUUAAAGGGAGCGUAGGUGGAUUGUUAAGUCAGUUGUGAAAGUUUGCGGCUCAACCGUAAAAUUGCAGUUGAAACUGGCAGUCUUGAGUACAGUAGAGGUGGGCGGAAUUCGUGGUGUAGCGGUGAAAUGCUUAGAUAUCACGAAGAACUCCGAUUGCGAAGGCAGUUCACUGGACUGCAACUGACACUGAGGCUCGAAAGUGUGGGUAUCAAACAGGAUUAGAUACCCUUGUAGUC